rnacentral:rRNA from 1 species
UAGGGAAUCUUCCGCAAUGGGCGAAAGCCUGACGGAGCAACGCCGCGUGAGUGAUGAAGGUCUUCGGAUCGUAAAACUCUGUUAUUAGGGAAGAACAAAUGUGUAAGUAACUAUGCACGUCUUGACGGUACCUAAUCAGAAAGCCACGGCUAACUACGUGCCAGCAGCCGCGGUAAUACGUAGGUGGCAAGCGUUAUCCGGAAUUAUUGGGCGUAAAGCGCGCGUAGGCGGUUUUUUAAGUCUGAUGUGAAAGCCCACGGCUCAACCGUGGAGGGUCAUUGGAAACUGGAAAACUUGAGUGCAGAAGAGGAAAGUGGAAUUCCAUGUUUAGCGGUGAAAUGCGCAGAGAUAUGGAGGAACACCAGUGGCGAAGGCGACUUUCUGGUCUGUAACUGACGCUGAUGUGCGAAAGCGUGGGGAUCAAACAGG